rnacentral:rRNA from 1 species
GUGGGAUGUAAUCGCCUUAUUAUUAACUUGGACAACCUGGAGGUGAUCGAUACCUUGCAGGAUGACGGACGAUCGGCGGUUGCGGCGGCGGCAAUCUUCGAUGAUUGUUUUCAUUAUGUCUGUGAUUUCAUUACUACUAGAUUUGAACAUUGUAAUAGAGAAGCAAAUAAAGUAGCUCAUGACUCGCUAGAUUAA